AGCUCAGAAAUGUGGUGAUCUCUGCUGUAGCCAUUCAUGUUCUUCUUCUAAUUCAGCAGGUGUGUGCCUUUGCCACCAGCAGCAGUUCUUCUCCUUGGACUCCAUGUUCUGUUCACAUCCAACUGUUUGGGAUACAGCCAUCGCUACAUUCAUCUACCAGUCUUGGAAGGAUGUGUUGCUGCCCUGCUGAUAACCCACCAGAGGUGCCUUGAGGGCUGGGAUGUGCGUUGCUUUCUGCCCUGAAGCUGUAAGAAACAGCAGUUUGGUGAUUUCCUUGGCUCUGUGUUGCUUGCCAUUGGACCAGCUGGGGCUGGGUAAAAGAAACUGGCUGCACACCUUCCUGCUCCUGGUGGCUGGAACUGUUGAAAGUCAGCCCUGUGCCAUGGGUUGCCCCAGCUCUUCAGGUGAUAACCUUCUCCAGCAGCAGCUGUGCUCAGAAUUUAUUGGGCUGCAGCUGGGAAUCUUUCUCUUUGAUCUAUCUCUGCUAUUAAACAGCUUGUGAUAACACCGCCGAGCUCACAUCGAGGAAGGGAAGCCAAGCAACCUCAAUUGUGGAGCUGAGCAGCAGCGGGGAGCCCAUCUUAAAGAUGCAUCACCUCGACUGCUUCAAAAGUGAAGGAACUCCUUUUAUUGCAUUGAGCUGCUCUCCAGGAAUGAUUAAAGUCCUGUAAACGAGCACCUUCCUCAUCACAGAGCUGUCUGCUGACAGGGUGCCAAGUACAACAAGCCCAAUCCAAAGCAUCAUCCCCUCCGUGGGGCUAAUUGUUGUUGCCUUGUCUCUUGAACAAGAAGAGUGGUAAGGGAAAGCAGAACCUGGAGGCACAUACGCAUCCCUGUACAGAAAUAACCCCUGAAAUAGCACUGAAAAGCAAUUGAGGAGUUGGUGUAUGGGCUGCAGACAAAGAGCAGAGUAAAGGAGAUAACCGGCAGCGAGAUCUGGGAAAUAAUGCCCUAAAUUCCCUCUGAGCCCAUCCAUCACUGUGGCUUCGGUGAUCAUCUCAGCAACAAAUACCCUUAUCAUCCAAGUGGAAUUUGAUGUUAAUGACCUGUCUGUUAUUUCAGAGGGAGAUGGACUGGAACCGGUGGGUAAUUGGUAGGAAAAAUCACUGGGUACAGCAAAGAGCUGAUGCUACUGGAGUAGUUACAUCAUGAGAGAGGGAGAUUAGGGAGCUCUGCUUACUACAAGGGGCUUAUUCAUCCUGAAUAAAUGCGUUAGCUGCCCGGGGCUGUCCUCCUAUGCUCUUGUUCCUGUCUGGUGGUAUCUCCCCACCACAGCUUACCCUGCUUUUCCCAACAAACAGCAGAGAUUCAGCCUGGCAGAAGCUAAUAGAAUCAUAGAACACCCAGAGCUGGAAGGGACCCAUAAGUAUCAUCAAGUCCAACUCCUGCUGUUGAGAUGAUCACAGUAAGGAAUAACCUGCUCUCUCCAAGCUCACAAUGAUGUAUGUGUUUAUUUUGGAGUCCUCUCAGGAAAGACCAUAAUUACUCUAAUUUCUUAAUUACCGAAAUUAUUCAGAAUGACUUUACAAACACCUCUGCCCUGCAAUGUUUUGCACAAGCAGCCUCCCAGGUUGCAGCAGCGUUAGGAUUUGGGUCUGUUUCUCUGCUUGGAAGGAUUUGCUGUGUUCACUGCCAUUUCUCCUUGCCAUCACGUUAGUGGGGCAGCCUGCAGGUCUCAGCAAAAAUAGGAUAACUGGAGAGCAUCAGGGGAGAGCUAGAAGCAAGUCCAGAGGUAAAGCCUUGGCUCUGUUGCAAAGAAGAAUAGCUUUGCUGGGACUUGAUGCCUGUGCUUUUUCUCAACAGUUUCCUAUUCCCACCUUGCAUUUCCCAGCUAACGGGACCAGCACCAGCCAUGUUUCGGUGAGCACACACCUGCUUUAUAAAUUAGCUCCCAGGAGUAUUUGCAAAAACAAAGCUGAACUGCACAGGCCACGAGACUGGGUUUGCUGCAGAAAUACCAGCACGUAUUCAUAAUAAAGCAGCUGCAUGCUUUGCCCAGCUCUGUCUGUAACUUCCCGUCAUGUCCUGUACCUUUCUGGGAAGAAAGAAUGGGUGAUGGUGGUGGGAAAUUUGCUUCGUUGAGCCAAGAAGGAUUUUGCAAUCGCUCUUGAUGGAGCUGGAGCUGCUUUUAACCCUAUGUAUUCCAGAUAUCUCUGUACAACCUUAUUGAUUUUCCACUGUUGUAGGUAGCAAUGGAGAAGAAAGAAUGGGUGAGUAGGAUUUAACACUCAGCCUGAACUGUGCAUAAGGGUCAGCCCUAUGCCCUUUAUGCACAGUAGGCACCACUGCUGCCUGUCCCCAGCAUCACCUCAGGGUGGCACAAGUUGGGGACCAUGAGUGAUGAGGAGCUCUUGCGGUGCCCUUUCCAUUUCUUCCCUAUAGCUGUGUGAAGAGCUGCUGACUGCUCCACCAGGAACCAAGGCAAUAAUCCCAGCUUGUCACUUUCCAUCAGCGGAAUGAAUCAAACACUGUGGUUGUGGCCCUGUUCCUAUGUGCUCUGUGUGUUCUUCCUCUUGACUCACCAGUGGGGAGGCGAUGUCAUGGGGAAGCUGUUCUGGAAAUGCUUUAAUUGAUUUAAUUCAUAGCUGCAUUGGAGCAAUAAGGUGUUCCCUCCUUAUGCCCAAGAAUGGCAGAAUGUCCUCCAGCUGCCCCCAGAGAUGCUGCUGGCAAUCCAUGCCAAGCCUGAGAAUGAAAGCUUUGGCAACAUCCUGGACCAAGCUCUGCUAUCUUUCCUAUUGAAACGCAUGUGGAUUACUGCAGACAAAUUGGAGAUGAACACGCAUCUAGAGCCCAACGUAUCCGUAAGAUAAAUCACCACAUAACUGCAAGACAAUAUUUCUGCAAAAAAAGGUUUUCUUAUCAUGAUUUUUUCCCCUCUGUCUUGGACUCAUCGCUACCAGACCAGGAACCUUUGAACAGAUUUGUUUGAAGCCUUGGCAUAGGCUCACAGUGGCUGAGAAUCUUCUUCCUAUUCCUAAGAAAAACAGAUUCUGGCUGGAGGGGAAGAAGAGCUUCAGCAUUAGAGAUGACCUAAACAGCACAUGUUGCAAAUGAGAUGGGAAGUGGAGAACUGCUUGAAACAUCUCUGACCCUUUCAGCAGAACUGUUUUCCCUUUGCCUUCUUAAAGCUGAGCUGCAGAUGUUGUAAGGAUGAACCCAGUGGCCUGCUGCUGUUUCUUUUUGCAUGUUCACAAGGCAGCUUCUCUAAUAAGUUUGAACUCUGUUGAUCUUGCAUUGAACAGCUUCACAUCAGGCUGCAUGGUAGCUGGCUCACGCUGCCCUGACCUUGCUGUACUUACUUCCCAUGCUGGAAAUGAGGUGGUGUGGAAUGGUUUCUUUGGGUUUUGCAGUAGAAAUAGGUUGCUGGGCUCUUGAAGACAUCCCCAGGACUGCUAUAGUCCAGAACAGCCCUGGGAAAGAUGCUCUGCUUCAAGCUGGGGUUGUACUGGUGUGAGCUGGUGAUUUCAUGUCUUCCUCUGGUUGGGUAUUUCAACCAAUGGCACAAAUAAUGGAAGACCUCCCAGAAUAAUGCCAUCGUAAGGGCUGACCACCUAAGAGGAACUGCACGUCAGGAAAUACAUUGGCCAUAUGAGUUUGUGAGUUGUUUCAAUUGUGAAUAGUGUAUUAAUCAAGACUUGGCUAAUGGGUGCACUGGGACAUGCACAUAGAUGUACUGUUGAGCCCUUCUCUUUACCUUUCAACCUCUGAAGUCAUCCAAGCUGCUAACACUCUGAGGAGGAUGACUCAGCAAAAAUAAUAGUUUUAGCAAGAAGCAGAAAAAUGAGAUUUGCAUAUGUUUUUGUUUUUUUUUUUUUUUUUCUGGGAAAAAUAUCAAGUUUUCCUGCUUAGAAAAUGAAUGGGUUGGAAACCAGCUUGUAAAACUUGAAGCCUGACUCAGGCACUGAUCUGUCGCCGGGCUGUCACUUGCAGUCAUUGUUAGUGAGAAGUCCUCAAUGUUCUGUCCAUAAAGGAAAGAUUGCUGUCUGUGUUACUGAUGGAUUCUUAUGUGGGGAGGAGCAAAUUUGAGCUGGAGGACUUCAAUACAUGUUCAGCAGCAGGUGAGCAAAGUUAGGGAAUACAGAACCAUCCCUGCUCACUGCAGAGCAGCUCCCAAGGAGCACAGUGAUAAAUGAAUUGCAGAAAGCUUGUGGGGUUCAGCUUGGCCAGGGGAAAUAAUGCUGGUGUCUAUCUGAUCUCUGCAAACCUGAUUUUCCACUUACAUGCCUGAUGAUAAAUCAGUGGUAAAUGCGCUUAUGUUGGCACGCCAAGUUUUCCCCUGGAUGCUGCCUUAUAUGCACGCGCUUUCUUGACCGCAGGCAUUCAGAUCUGGUGCAGAAACCUUGAGCUGGUAGGUGGCAUCCUAUCCCAACAACACCACAUUGCCCUUGGCCUGCACAAUGCAGCACAGCUAUGGGAGAAGGACAGCAAACGCACCAGGAGAACCUCUUCAAACUGCAUAGAAGGCCUGAUUUUGAAACUAGGGCAAAAGUUGAAAUAGGAUUUAAUUUUAUCUCAGUUGAUUCAUCUGUCCCUAAUUAGUAAUAACUUCCUAAUGUAUGACACAAGGAUAUGCGGAGGUUUGGUUUUUUUUAAUGAAUGACUCUUGGCUAAGAUAAAAUAUUGCUGUUCUCAGAUUGCCUCAGAUAGUUCUUUUUAUAAGCCAAUAGAGAUUUGUGUAGUCUUAGAUGAAAAAUACAUGAGAUCCUGCAGUCACACAUGCUGAAGACUGAACUCUUAUAGAUUAUAGAUCCUAUCUUGUUCCCAAUUUAUUCUGUACAUCCCGUUUUAGUGUCUCUAUUUGCUUUUACUGAUUGAGGAGCCUCAGUCUCCCAGUAUUGCAGUGUGUGAUGCUGUGCAGGGAUGGAGCAAAAGCUGAUCCUUACACCCAGAGCAGUUUCUCAUGGGAAAUCGCCAGUUUUUCCUCUUUUUAGGAUGGAAGUUAUGUCUGCUUUGUCUUACUUUCUCUUUCUGUCCUCUUCCCCAUUUUCUCUCUACUUCCCAGGGCUGGAAGUAAAGCUGAUGCUGCUUGGUGGGGAUGCAGGAGGCGGAGCAGUGUCUGUGGGCAGUGUUUGGAUUGAACUGCAUGAUCCCAGGCAUCAGGAGGUGCAGGCUGCCCACAGCCUGUUCCUGGACAGUAUGGCCAGGAGAUAAUCCCUCUCACCUUGUAAUGCAUUGCACUUCCACAUCAUUCCUCUGCUCCGACUCAUGCUUUAUUAUACCAUCCAACAUAUUCCAUCCCAAUCCUUUUUCUUCACACCCUCUGAAACCCUUCCAGGCUUCCUGCUAUCGUGUCCCUUUCUCCAGCUCACCUCUCCAAGCCAAGCCAUACACCCAGGCUCCAAUCCCAUCCCAUAAAUCAGUCUCUCCAAGGCCCUGACAGUAUUCUGAGAUUUCCAGGGGCUGUGCAGCCCCUCCUGGGCUCACA